rnacentral:lncRNA from 1 species
GAGAGAAAACGGGAGAGAAAAGGCUUGAAACUGAGGAGCUGAACUCCAAGUAAAUCUUCCCACGUGCCUGGCCUGGACACAGAUCCAGGGAUGAAAGAGCCCUAAGGCAGUGUAGUAUGAUGUCCUGCCCAUGUGGCCAUUCCUUGUCCUGCGUGGAGAUGGCCAGGGACUGACUUACAAUGGCGACUGAGGGAUUAUUCUGAGAUCUAAGGUCCCUGAUUCCCUGGUCUGCAGACUGCUGGUGCCAAUGGAGGAAAUUUUUCUCUUCUCUUUGUGACUCAUGCCUGCCUCAAUACCAGGACCAGCGUACAGUGGUGACUCCUGCACCAAAGUCAGAGACAGAAGAACAUCCACCCAUCAAAUGUUAAUCCAGACCCACUGUGGUCUGGGACACGUUCCAUGCGGUGAAUUCAGCAGGAACAAGACACAGCCUUCUUGAAAUACAGGACCUAGGAACACAAAAUCUGCAAACUGCACUUAACACAAAAGGGAAGGGGCUGAGAUGGGGAGGAACAAUUCCAAGGUCACUUGGCAAGGAGAGAGAAAAGGAAGACGAGAAAUGCUCUGGACCUGUAACAGUAAGUCUUCUGAGUGUCCUGGGACCAGCCUGCCAGGGAGGGCAUGGGAAAAUCCUCAGCCCAAAUUCUCAGCCCAAAUCCCUCCCUAUGGAGACGGCAUCUCAGUCAGCUCUUUUAGCUGCCUGUAGGGGGCGCGCCUGCCACACUCUGGGUUGAAAGGGAGAGAAAAGACGGUUGAUUCCCAGCUCAGGAACCAAGCUGUCUAGAGACAUUUUCUUUUCUUUUUUUUUUUUAAUUUAUUAUUAUUAUACUUUAA